GUCUGCUUUUUCUCAACGUGGGUUAUUUCCUGCUUGCAAAAAGGUAUUUUGUUGUACUCGACAUCAUGGAUAAAAAGUUGAUAGUUAUGUUUAUGUGCAAGGUGAUUUAUCCCUUCCUCCCUGUACACCACCCAACAAUAACCCUGAUUUUAUUUGAUUUUUUUCUUCAUUAAUCAUGUUUUGCUCCCAAUUGCUGUUCCUAUACAAGUAUUUUCGCCUUAUACACCUGACAGCUGGACACACGAUUAAAGUCUUUAGUGGUCAGAUUACAAAACUACCCUAUAGAAGUCUUCAAGAAUUAAAGACUUUCAAAUUGGAUUAAUGUUUUUGGACCAGUUUGUUUUAAUUUUAAUCCUCUAAUUUCC
rnacentral:lncRNA from 1 species